rnacentral:rRNA from 1 species
UACGUAGGGCGCAAGCGUUAUCCGGAAUUAUUGGGCGUAAAGCGCACGUAGGCGGCUUUGCAAGUCGGAUGUGAAAUCCCUCGGCUUAACCAAGGAAGUGCAUCCGAAACUGCAGAACUUGAGUACUUAAGAGGAUCGCGGAAUUCCCGGUGUAGAGGUGAAAUUCGUAGAUAUCGGGAGGAACACCAGUGGCGAAGGCGGCGAUCUGGGAAGAUACUGACGCUGAGGUGCGAAAGCGUGGGGAGCAAACAGG